rfam:Paenibacillus sp. oral taxon 786 str. D14 genomic scaffold supercont1.27, whole genome shotgun sequence.
UGAAAAACAAAGCCGAAUUCCCUUCACCAGGGAAACGGGGGAACCACUUUGGGUGAAUUGAUCUCGCUUUAGAGGGAUCAUAGGGAACCUUCAACCGAAUCCUUAAGCUAACCUCGUAGGCAUUGGAAGGAGCAUAA